rnacentral:rRNA from 1 species
UACGUAGGGGGCAAGCGUUGUCCGGAAUCACUGGGCGUAAAGCGCGCGCAGGCGGCUGUCUACGUCCGGGGUGAAAGUCCAGAGCUCAACUCUGGGAUUGCCUUGGAUACGGGAUGGCUUGAGGAUCGGAGAGGCAAGGGGAAUUCCACGUGUAGCGGUGAAAUGCGUAGAGAUGUGGAGGAACACCUGUGGCGAAGGCGCCUUGCUGGCCGAUUUCUGACGCUGAGGCGCGAAAGCGUGGGGAGCAAACAGG